rnacentral:rRNA from 1 species
GACGAACGCUGGCGGCGUGCCUAAUACAUGCAAGUUGAGCGCUGAAGGUUGGUACUUGUACCGACUGGAUGAGCAGCGAACGGGUGAGUAACGCGUGGGGAAUCUGCCUUUGAGCGGGGGAAAACAUUUGGAAACGAAUGCUAAUACCGCAUAAAAACUUUAAACACAAGUUUUAAGUUUGAAAGAUGCAAUUGCAUCACUCAAAGAUGAUCCCGCGUUGUAUUGGCUAGUUGGUGAGGUAAAGGCUCACCAAGGCGAUGAUACAUAGCCGACCUGAGAGGGUGAUCGGCCACAUUGGGACUGAGACACGGCCCAAACUCCUACGGGAGGCAGCAGUAGGGAAUCUUCGGCAAUGGACGAAAGUCUGACCGAGCAACGCCGCGUGAGUGAAGAAGGUUUUCGGAUCGUAAAACUCUGUUGGUAGAGAAGAACGUUGGUGAGAGUGGAAAGCUCAUCAAGUGACGGUAACUACCCAGAAAGGGACGGCUAACUACGUGCCAGCAGCCGCAGUAA